rnacentral:snoRNA from 1 species
AACCCAUGGUGUGGGCAUUGGUUUGUGUAGCUCCUGAAUCUCUCAUAUGCUUCACCAAAACUCUCAUUGCUAUGCUGAGUGAAGAUAGAGAUUUGAUUCCUUAGUUU